AUGUAUACCAAUGCUUUCUCUGAAGCACUACAGUUUUAACUUGUCUUUGUGGGAUUUGAUAGUACAAUUUAGGAUGCUAAAAUCCCUUUGUACUUGUCUAGGUUUCUUUCUUUACCACGCACAGGGAGUGCUGGAGUUUUCUUUUUCUCCAAAGAUGAUGAAUGCCCAAGAGGUAAUUGCCUAAUAGGAAUCUGGACUUUUAGAGCUUACCAAAACAUUAGCCACUUGACAGUUUACCUAGAUAUUUUGGAUCCUUUCAGAGGGCCCAAAGUUAUUUUGUAGAUCAGCAGAGCUCAGUGAAGAGAAAGAGAGUUGGGAAGACAGACGUAGAUUGUUGCUUGAGGAGCAGCUACUUAACUAUAUGUCAAGAAUGUAUUUAAGAGAAAGAGUGAAUUUAGAGACUUCUCCUAACAGUGGAUUCAGAACCUUCUCCGAAGAAUUGGUUAGAUUUUCAUUAUUUUCCGGAAUGCUGAAGGAAGCAUAAGGAUACCAGAUAGAAAGUACAAAGAAACCAAUAAACCUUUUACUGAUUAGAA